rnacentral:tRNA from 1 species
GGGGAUUUAGCUUAGUUGGUAAGGAGUUUGUCUCAUAUGCAAAAGGCCAUGGAUUCAAUCCCUA